GCAAAGGCUCUUUUAAGAGCCAACACUUGAUCUGUAGAAAGUGCUGU
rfam:Dipodomys ordii contig_70646, whole genome shotgun sequence.